AUUAAAAAUCUUUUACCAUAAUGGACAUUAAAGAACCGUAGCAGCAGAAAUAGAAAAAUAUGAGUUAAUCUUUAUUAUUCGGGUUUACUGGAGUAAUAAAGAAGAGAAAAAGAAAACGGAAAAGAAAAGUAUUUUUUUAAUGAAAUCUUAUGUGUCAAGUGAGUGUAGUCACUACCCAACGGAAAUUUGGUUAUGGUACUUUAAGGGUGGAUUUAUUCUAUUUUAAAAUAAUUUAGGGGUAAUAAUAACCACGCAAAGGUAAAGUAUGCAGUUCGAAAUAAAGUUAUAGGUCGGGUGUUCUCCGUAUCAUGCACUAAUAGAAUCAGUGAGUACCAUGACUAUCUACUUUGUAGCACAAACAAAUUAUGACAUACCUCAAAUUUGUUUGCUAAUUCCCCUUUCUCUCUUUCUCUGUCAAUUUGUUUUCCUCUUUCCAUGAUCUGAAGUAAGAAUACAAAGAAACUGAAGAAAGUAGCAGAAACAUUUUUGAAAAUAUAGCCAUGCAUAAAAAGUAGUACGUUUUCUUAAGUUAUUAGAGACUAAAUUACUAACCUUUUUACUUGAUGAAAAAUCAGAGAAAUGGCUUUAGCUAGAAUGAGGCAACAGAAAGUACUAUGGAAUGGCUGUUUUUGUGUAUGAAUUCUCCCCUUUUUCGACAUACCGACAGUUUGAGAUAAGGGUAUAAGGGCACAAAAUCAUGAGGCUAGGGGGAAAAAUGACAAAAAGUGGUUGCGCAUUAAAUUUGAAAUAAGUCUCUUAAAUAUAUUUCAGAGUAGUUUGGUUAAUUAGUUAUGUAAAAGUGAGAUAUUUUAUAUAUUUGAUAAAUUGUGGUUCUUAGAUUUAAACAGAAUUGUGAAAAAAUAAAAAGAGAUAAAGGGAACUCACAUUUGAAGAUGCAGGUUAUAUUGUUUCUGCUAUUUUUCGUCUAU
rnacentral:lncRNA from 1 species